rnacentral:rRNA from 1 species
AGUGAACGCUGGCGGUAGGCCUAACACAUGCAAGUCGAACGGCAGCACAGUAAGAGCUUGCUCUUACGGGUGGCGAGUGGCGGACGGGUGAGGAAUACAUCGGAAUCUACUUUUUCGUGGGGGAUAACGUAGGGAAACUUACGCUAAUACCGCAUACGACCUACGGGUGAAAGCAGGGGAUCUUCGGACCUUGCGCGAUUGAAUGAGCCGAUGCCGGAUUAGCUAGUUGGCGGGGUAAAGGCCCACCAAGGCGACGAUCCGUAGCUGGUCUGAGCGGAUGAUCAGCCACACUGGAACUGAGACACGGUCCAGACUCCUACGGGAGGCAGCAGUGGGGAAUAUUGGACAAUGGGCGCAAGCCUGAUCCAGCCAUACCGCGUGAGUGAAGAAGGCCUUCGGGUUGUAAAGCCCUUUUGUUGGGAAAGAAAAGCAGCAGGUUAAUACCCCGCUGUUCUGACGGUACCCAAAGAAUAAGCACCGGCUAACUUCGUG